UACGGAGGGUGCGAGCGUUGUUCGGAUUUACUGGGCGUAAAGGGCGCGUAGGCGGCGUGGUAAGUCACUUGUGAAAUCUCUGAGCUUAACUCAGAACGGCCAAGUGAUACUGCUGUGCUAGAGUGCAGAAGGGGCAAUCGGAAUUCUUGGUGUAGCGGUGAAAUGCGUAGAUAUCAAGAGGAACACCUGAGGUGAAGACGGGUUGCUGGGCUGACACUGACGCUGAGGCGCGAAAGCCAGGGGAGCAAACGGG
rnacentral:rRNA from 1 species